UCCAACACAACCUCCCAUGAGACUCUGAUGAAAAUAGCCAAGGAUGCUGAACCCAAGGGCCCUAGGAAUAUCACUGUCUCCUAGAACACUGAUCCUGCUUUAGCACAGGUCCUGAAGCCAGAAAUGAGAGGAGCCAUCAUUGUAGAGGAAGGGGCCACCUUCCUCACCACCACCACCAGCUCACCAACUGCCACUAAGGGACCAGUCAGGCCAGAACCCAUAGAGUGAAAAAAACUCUCUAGACCAACCUGGCCGACUUCCAAGCCCAGCCUCUGAAGCCAUCAUCCCAGAUACCAACCCAGGAAGGAGAUGGGACCUGUCCACUACUUCUCCAGACAUAACAGGAAGGAUGCUCUGGAUGAUACAGCUGGUUCUGCAUGGAGACAAUAUAUAUGUCAAUGGGAAGGAGGCCACAAGGUCCAUGUAGAGUCCACAAAAUUUCCUCAGAAAGGUUCCACUGCAAUCUCUUUCUUGCUAUUUAGCAAGUUCUCCUAGGAGCUCCCUCAAUGGAACUGUGCAACCUGGCCUGCUUGGAGCCAAGAAGAAGAGGACCGCUGAUUUGGGGGGUGAUAUUUUGAUGUGCAAGUGAAUUGGAUUUAAGGAAGACAGAGCUGUGCAAAGUCAUCAGCCCAACCCUCUGCACCACAGUCAUCAGAGUUCUGAGCAACACAUAGGUCAGGACCACUGGAGGCAGCACCAGAUGGAGUAAAAGACCUUGAGCUUUCUAAGCUAAGAUCCUUCCCAAGUUUCAGUUUCUCUGAGGCACCACCCAUUCAGUGAUUAAGUUUGGUAAGCAAUGAGGCAAAAGAUGGCCUACUGUGCUUCACAAAAGAAUGCAUAUGAAGGUGGAAGACCUUCAGAAUUUCUGGCCAGAACAAAAGGUGCCUUUUAAGUGAGGAUAGGCCUGUACAGCUAAAACAAGUGAUAUCUGAAAGAAGUGACAUCAGUCAUUUAUAUCUUUGUUCAAAGUGAUCAGUUCCUAAGAACAAAAUCUGCCAGUCUUGCAAAAUUUCCUGGAUGAGAAGGGACAAAUGUAUAAUUCAAUCUGGGGAUUGCAUAAUACAUAAACAGGGAUUGUGUCUAGGAGGGCACACUUGAGUGAGAAGCUUAAUGACAAUCCCUUAGGUGGUAGAGAGCCACGAGGCAUCCCCUUCAAGAGGAAGGAAGGUGACAAAAAAUGUAGGUGAGGGGAAACGUCAAAAACGUGAGAGUUCUUGAAGACAAGCUUUAUA